GGUGCCAUUGCUUAGCUGGUCAAAGAGCUUGCCUAGUAAACAGAAGAUCCUGGGUUCAAAUCCCACUGGUGCCU
rnacentral:tRNA from 1 species